AGCAUCUUUCUUCUCUUCUGGAGGAUCCCAACUGUAAACUGAAGAAACUAGUACUGUCUCAUUGUCUCAUCACACACGAGGGCUGUUCUUUCUUGGCCUCUGCCCUCAAAUCAAACCCCUCCUACCUGAAAUGGCUGGAUCUGAGCUACAAUCACCCAGGAGACUCCGGUGUCAGAGAGCUCACAGGCAGACUGAAUGAUCCAAACUGUAAACUAGAGACUUUCAGGUAUGACCAUGGAGGAGAGUUCAGGAUUAAACCAGGACCGAGAAAAUGUGAGUGAUUUUAUUCAUUUUUCCCUGAAAAAAUACAUACACAUGAUUGUAUAUGAACACAUGGAAACAUUGAGGUGUGUGUGUGUGUAUGUAAGAGAAAGAGGUUGUGUAUGUUUAUAGGUUUAGUAGUGCAUGUGAUCAUUUGUGUGUGAUCAGGCUGAUGUUUCUUUGUUUUCACUUGGUCAUUCUUUGAUUCCAUUUGACUUGAUAAUUCUAAAACAUGAACAUGAAUGUGAUCAAGUCGACUCCCAGCUCAUACAGCUGCUGCUGAGCAACUGCAGUGUCUGGCCCUGAAAACAGCUGCCAGCUUACUGCCAUAAGAUUAAAAUGGCCUGUGCCAUCAUGACAAUGAAAGCUGAACAGAAUUGAUAUCUGACACUUACUGAACCAAGCCUGGCAGUGUUUGGU